rnacentral:SRP_RNA from 1 species
GUUUGGGUCCUGCGCAAUGAAUACCCAUGAACCAUGUCAGGUCCGGAAGGAAGCAGCAUUAAGUGGUCUCAUUCAUGUGCCGCGGGGUAGCCUGAGCGGA